AUUACUCCUACGGGAGGCAGCAGUAAGGAAUAUUGCGCAAUGGGCGACAGCCUGACGCAGCGACGCCGCGUGGGGGAUGAAGGUCUUCGGAUUGUAAACCCCUUUCGGCAGGGAAGAUGGAACGGGCAACCGUUCGGACGGUACCUGCAGAAGCAGCCACGGCUAACUUCGUGCCAGCAGCCGCGGUAAUAAU
rnacentral:rRNA from 1 species